rnacentral:rRNA from 1 species
AUUGAACGCUGGCGGCAUGCCUUACACAUGCAAGUCGAACGGCAGCACGGGUGCUUGCCCCUGGUGGCGUGUGGCGAACGGGUGAGUAAUACAUCGGAACAUGUCCUGUAGUGGGGGAUAGCCCGGCGAAAGCCGGAUUAAUACCGCAUACGAUCUACGGAUGAAAGCGGGGGACCUUCGGGCCUCGCGCUAUAGGGUUGGCCGAUGGCUGAUUAGCUAGUUGGUGGGGUAAAGGCCUACCAAGGCGACGAUCAGUAGCUGGUCUGAGAGGACGACCAGCCACACUGGGACUGAGACACGGCCCAGACUCCUACGGGAGGCAGCAGUGGGGAAUUUUGGACAAUGGGCGAAAGCCUGAUCCAGCAAUGCCGCGUGUGUGAAGAAGGCCUUCGGGUUGUAAAGCACUUUUGUCCGGAAAGAAAUCCUUGGCUCUAAUACAGUCGGGGGAUGACGGUACCGGAAGAAUAAGCACCGGCUAACUACGUG